rnacentral:lncRNA from 1 species
UGAAAAAACCAACUAUUUUCUUUUUCUUUUUCUUUUUUUUUUUAAGGUUUUGGGUUUGUGGGUUGUGGAAUUUUGAUUUUGGAUGGGUGGGGAAACCCUAAUGAGGGGUUUUGAGUAUUGAAGCAUGGAGGUGAGUGCUGCUGCUGCUGCUGUUGUUGCUGAUACUGGCGCUGGGGCCGCCGUUGGUGGCGGUGUUAAGAGUCCGGAAGCCGAGACAGAGACGCCGACGCAGAUCCAACCCAGGAAGGGGUUGUCCUUGACGAACGGGGUGUUGAAGAGGCACCAACAACACCACCACCACCACCACCACCAUUUCGCGGCGCCCCAGGUGGUGGUGGCGUACAAGGAAUGUCUCAAGAACCACGCGGCUAGCUUGGGGGGCCACGCGUUGGAUGGGUGUGGCGAGUUCAUGCCCUCGCCGACCGCCACCUCAGCCGACCCGACCUCGCUGAAAUGCGCUGCCUGCGGGUGCCACCGGAACUUCCACCGCCGAGAGCCGGACGACCCGCCCCCCACCACCCACGUCAUCGAGUACCAGCCCCACCACCGCCACCAGCCCCCGCCUCCCCCGCCGCGCCCGCGCAGCCCCAAUUCCCCCUCUCCGCCGCCGAUCUCCUCCUCCUACUACCCCUCCGCGCCGCACAUGCUGCUCGCCCUCUCCGCAGGCAUCUCC